GACAAAUAUAAACGGAAAGAAGAUGUAAGGAGAAUUUUAUAUUGUUUUUUGUCGACAACUUUUUUUUACUUACCUUUAUCUGUUUCUCUCUGUCCUUG
rnacentral:ribozyme from 1 species